GACGAACGCUGGCGGCGUGCUUAACACAUGCAAGUCGAACGGAAAGGCCCUGCUCUUGUGGGGUGCUCGAGUGGCGAACGGGUGAGUAACACGUGUGUAACCUGCCCUUGACUUUGGGAUAACUUCUGGAAACUGGGGCUAAUAUCGGACAGGAGCUCCUGCUGCAUGGUGGGGGUUGGUAAGUUUCGGCGGUUGGGGAUGUACUCGCGGGUUAUCAGCUUGUUGGUGGGGUAGUGGCUUACCAAGGCUUUGACGGGUAGCCGGCCUGAGAGGGUGACCGGCCACAUUGGGACUGAGAUACGGCCCAGACUGCUACGGGGGGCAGCAGUGGGGAAUAUUGCAAGAUGGGCGGAAGCCUGAUGCAGCAACGCCGCGUGCGGGAUGACGGCCUUCAGGUUAUAAACCGCUUUCGCCUGUGACGAAGCGUGAGUGACGGUAAUGGGUAAAGAAGCACCGGCUAACUACGUG
rnacentral:rRNA from 1 species